rnacentral:rRNA from 1 species
UACGUAGGGUGCGAGCGUUGUCCGGAUUUACUGGGCGUAAAGAGCGCGCAGGCGGUCAUUCAAGUCGCGUGUGAAAGCCCCCGGCUCAACUGGGGAGGGUCACGCGAUACUGAUCGACUGGAAGGCAGGAGAGGGUAGUGGAAUUCCCGGUGUAGUGGUGAAAUGCGUAGAUAUCGGGAGGAACACCAGUGGCGAAGGCGACUACCUGGCCUGUUCUUGACGCUGAGGCGCGAAAGCUAGGGGAGCAAACGGG